UUCCAAACUUCGUCAAUGUACUCGACUCCAAUAAUAGACUCACAGAUGGGUUUUCCAUUAUGAAUCAAAACUGGGAUUUUCUUGUGAAUAGGAUUCAUCUGCAAAAGCAGAGGACUUUUGUUCCACAAAUCCUCUUCUUUGUACUCAUAUUUAAUCUCUUUUUCAGCAAGUGCAAUCCUUAGCCUCAUACCAAACAUGCUAGGCCAAGAAUCCAACAGAAUAACCUCAUCAUUAGCCAUUUUAUUUUGUAUGAAUUAACAA